AUAAAACUUCAUUAAAGUGCCCACAGUGCUCACAAUAUGACAUUACCACCUAGGCACAUAUUCAAUGAAUAGUGAGCACUGUGGGCACUUUAAUGAAGUUUUAU